rnacentral:tRNA from 1 species
UGGUAUGUAGCUCAAUCGGUAGAGCACUGGACUGUUAAUCCGGGGGGUACUGGUUCGAAUCCAGUCAUAUCAG